UUUCACUGGAAUUCCUUCAUGGAAGAGGAGCCUCUCAUUCAGACACAUUCAGCUCAUUUGGGAUACUGGAGACGCAACCGAUGUCCCCGGUGUCUCUCUGCUGACUCUGACCAAUCAGAUGUCUCCGGUGCCUCUCUGCUGCUUCUCUGACCAAUCAGAUGUCCCCAGUGUCUCUCUGCUGACUCUCUGACCAAUCAGACGUCUCCGUUGCCUCUCUGCUGCUUCUCUGACCAAUCACACUUCUCCGGUGCCUCUCUGCUGACUCUGUGUUGACUCUCUGACCAAUCAGAUGUCUCCAGUGUCUCUUUGCUGACUCUCUGACCAAUCACACGUCUCCAUGUGUCUCUCUGCUGACUCUCUGACCAAUCACACGUCUCCAUGUGUCUCUCUGCUGGCUCUCUGAGUCUCGGCGGGCGUCGGUCAGCCUCCCUGCAGUGUUCGUGUCGGAUAAAGACGGAUGGCGCGCGGCUGAUGACGCGUCUGAUGGCGCUCGCGCUUCAAUGGGAGCACUCGCUCAACACGACAGGCGUGACGGAGGCAGCCGCCGCCGCCGCAGUCGCGCCCGUAGAUUCACCUGAGAGACAUCUACAUAAAGACAGAGACAAGAUAAGAGGAGGGGUUGUGUCGCUCGGCUCCGACUUAUUCACAAGCUAAAAUAAAAAAGGGGAAUGAAUAGAUUAUUAUAUAAAUACAGCAGGAUGUGCUGCGCGAA